rnacentral:lncRNA from 1 species
UUGUCUUCUAAAAGGAAGGAAAACUAUUUCUCUUCGGAAAGUUCAGGUUGCAUCUAAAAAUUUUUCUAUUCUUCUACAUGAUUAAGGAUCAAAUUCUUACAUGAAUAGUAGCAGAACCAGAGAUCAAAUCUCAAAUUAUCUGAAUUAAACCUUUACGGAGGCCUAGAUGUGCAGACCCUCUACUUCGCAUGCACGCCAGAUGUCGCAACAAAAUAGGAUGAACUCCAUUCCAUUCACCUUCGUAACUCAAUCAAAUAAGGGAGAAGAUGUGCUGGUGUGAUACCUUGCACCAGUAGGUGGGACGUCCAAAAAGGAUCCACGCCCAAGGGAAGAGGGGCGGCACCAAAAGGGAAUAGACCAAUGGAAGAAGAAGGCUCUUCUCUUCUCAUGCCUCUCUCUCUCUUUCUCUCUUCUCUCAAUCUUAUUUAUUUGCUAUGCAUCUAUAGGUAGAGACCCUCUCUAUUUAUAGAUAAUUUCUAUGACCCAAUAAGUAUAGGAGUCCUAACUCAAAUCUGAUUUGAAUUAGUCCAGUAUUCAUGAAAGAAGGAUUCCUACAUGAGAUAGAAUUGCCAUCACUUAUGAUAACCACUUUACACCCACUCUCUCACCCAUAUGGGAUGCCCCAAACUAGCACCAUUCUAGGUAUUGGUCAGCCC